GUGACAUCAUCAAAUGAAAUUUGCAAGAUGUUGAAUUCAGAAUUCUCGGAUUUCAAAUAUUUCUUGUUUUAAAUGUGCUGGUUUGUCAACAUGGACCAGCUAUGUAAUUUUUUAAUGUUCUGCAGGUCCGUUUAUGCUUCUCAUCACCAGCUUGUGCCGAGCACCAGCCAUGCCUAGGGAAGCUGUGGAGGGAAACACAUCAGUCACGCUCAAUACAGACUUCUGGUGAGUGCCUCUCCCACCACGAGAGAAGAAGCACGGAAGGAGCCGCGGAGAGCGGACCGGUAGAGGCUUCGGGACAGACUGUAGAGAAGAAGCACGGAAGGAGCCGCGGAGAGCGGACCGGUAGAGGCUUCGGGACAGACUGUAGAGAAAGAAGCACGGAAGGAACCGCGGAGAGCGGACCGGUAGAGGCUUCGGGGCAGACUGUAUAAGGAGAGAAUAAAGAAAAGCCUGACCACC